GAUGAACGCUAGCGGGAGGCCUAAUACAUGCAAGUCGAACGGUAACAGGUAGCAAUACGCUGACGAGUGGCGCACGGGUGCGUAACGCGUACACAAUCUGCCUUAUACUGGGGCAUAGCCUUUGGAAACGAAGAAUAAUUCCCCAUAAUAUAUAGAAGAGGCAUCUCUUUCAUAUUAAAGCUCAGGCGGUAUAAGAUGAGUGUGCGUCCGAUUAGGUAGUUGGUGAGGUAACGGCUCACCAAGCCAACGAUCGGUAGCUGGUCUGAGAGGAUGAUCAGCCACACGAGCACUGAGACACGGGCCCGACUCCUACGGGAGGCAGCAGUAGGGAAUAUUGGACAAUGGGCGCAAGCCUGAUCCAGCCAUCCCGCGUGAAGGAUGAAGGUCCUCUGGAUUGUAAACUUCUUUUCUUCGGGAAUAAAAACUAGGGGUUCUCCUCAGCUUGAAGGUACCGAAGGAAUAAGCACCGGCUAACUCCGUGCCAGCAGCCG
rnacentral:rRNA from 1 species